AACUUGAGGGCUUUCAAUUGGGAUUGCUGCCAUCUAGCGCACAGUGUAGGAGUUUUCGGAUUUGUCUCGACUGGUAGUUGAAGUUGAGAGUUGCAGAGGUCGACGUCAGAAUUACUUAGAAAUUAACUAGUUUAACCGAUAACUAAAAGCAAAAAACUCAAAGUUUCCCGUGCAAUGAAUAAGCGGUGUUUUCCUGUUCCCAGAUAUGUAAAAUUCAGACAAUGCUGCGUUUUCAUAGAACUUGUGGUUUUCUGCGGGUUCUGACCGAAAAGAUGCACUUUUUGGCAUCUCCAGAGAACGACAUCAGAUUUCUUUUUCAACGUACGUAAGUUUAAGAAAUUAAUUUCUUUACUAAUUUAUCUCUGUGUGGUAGCUCUUGAUUACCGACCUUUUGAUGAAGAAUUCCUUCUUUCGAUGCACAAAAACCCUACAAAGAGCUUUUCAACACACGGAUCUCCUUGAAUGCAGAGCCUUUAACAUUUUUAAUGGGUAAAAUUUUUUCUCCAAAAUGAACAUUACUCAUAAUUAAAGCGCUUGAAAAUAA